rnacentral:rRNA from 1 species
UACGUAGGGUCCGAGCGUUUGUCCGGAAUUAUUGGGCGUAAAGGGCUCGUAGGCGGUCCGUCGCGUCGGGGAGUGAAAAACUCGGAGCUUAACUCCGAGCCUGCUUCCGAUACGGGCAGACUAGAGGUAGGCAGGGGGAGAGCGGAACUCCUGGUGUAGCGGUGGAAUGCGCAGAUAUCAGGAAGAACACCGGUGGCGAAGGCGGCUCUCUGGGCCUUACCUGACGCUGAGGAGCGAAAAGCGUGGGUAGCGAACAGG